CGGUGCGGACACGUGUGCACCUUGCCUUAUCUUGGGGGAUAGCUUUCGAAAGGAAGAUUAAUACCCCAUAAUAUGUUGAAUGCAUCAUCGAGCAUUGAAACUCCGGUGAUAGAGAUGGGCACGCGCAGAUAGAUAGUUGGUGAGGUAACGGCUCACCAAGUCUACGAUCUUUAGGGGGCCUGAGAGGUGAUCCCCACACUGGUACUGAGACACGGCAGACUCCUACGGGAGGCAGCAGUGGGAAUAUUGGCAAUGGCGCAAGCCUGACCCAGCCAUGCCGCGUGAGUGAUGAAGGGUCUUCGGAUCGUAAAGCUCUGUGGGAAGGGACGAAAAAACCGGUGGUUAAUACCCGCCGGCUUGACGGUACCUUCUUAGCAAGCACCGGCUAACUCCGUGCCAGCAGCCGCGGUAAUACGGAGGGUGCAAACGUUGCUCGGAAUUAUUGGGCGUAAAGCGCAUGUAGGCGGUCCGCUAAGUCGGAUGUGAAAGCCCUCGGCUUAACCGAGGAAGUGCAUCCGAAACUGGCGGGCUAGAGUACGGAAGAGGGUUUCGGAAUUCCCGGUGUGGAGGUGAAAUUCGUAGAUAUCGGGAGGAACACCA
rnacentral:rRNA from 1 species